CAGGUUACAUGUGUUUUUUAACAGCAGGACGGGGCCUGCAGGGUGUGAUCAAAGAAGAUGCACAUAAAAAAUGGUCAGAAUUUCGAUGAAACCAUUGGGGCCACCAACGUCACUUUUUUGACCACACUUUGCCAACAUUGCUGGACCCUGCUUUGGAUUGUUCCCACUUAGCUUGUGCAAAAUCGCAACUGCAGAUUUUGUUAUGCAGUUCCAUAUCUGGCUACAGAUGCAGAACCGGAAUCCUAGCCAAUCUGAGUUUGGAAAGCGUGUUUCCAGCCGUCAUGAAGGUGAAGAUGCCUGGCGCAUUGGCAAGUGUCCUCAAAAGAGUCCAGAAUUCAGGAAGGCACAAUUUAGCUUUUAGAAUACAAUUUAGAAUACUUAUUUUCUCUUCUAUUGGAGACACAAUUUAGCUUAUCGUCUCUUAUAACAUUAAGGCCAUACGAGACCCAGAAUAAGAAAAUAAGAAAUCUUUUUCUUAUUCUUUCCUAUGCUGCCAUAAUUUUGUGAAAACAUCGAUUUCUAGUUCAUCAACAAGGUCAUAAAGCAGUAACUGAAAUAUUCAACAUGGUUUUGUUUGAUGUUAACAUUAUUGAUCUUUUGAGCCAAUAAAUAGAAUUUGAUACAAGGGAGUUGGGGGAGAUGGCUCAGCUACCAAGCAAGUCCUGAUAAUUGAGAAAACGUGGCAGGAGCAUAAACAUGGGCAAUGGGGGGCUCCUAACCUGUCUCCUCUUUGCAUUUUCUGUCCAGGCCUGAGACCUCUUUUCCACAAAAGCCACAAUCUUCUAAGCUGACUUCUGGGGAUAAAGAGAUUGUGUAUGCUGACCUGAAGGGCCCGAGCGGAUCACAGCUUCCUGGGAAAAUCAAUCUGGAAGAGCGCUCAGUAUAUGCUACCAUCAAAGGAACGCCAGCUGGGGCCACAGAGAAAGGACCUUUCUCAGCUUGAGUCUGUGAAAUUAGAGAAGAAGUUGAAAUGGGGAAGAAAUCUUGGCUACUUUGCAUAUAGGAGCAAAAUCGCUUCAUUUUCCAUUUCUGAGCACAAACUGAAAUGUACUCAUCCUUUGAAAUUUCACACAAUCCCAAAUAUUGGCGCUUGCCAGUUGAAAAACAGGCACAUCAGAAAAAUGUCUGCAUAAAAUCUGUAUUGCCAUACAAUAACGGACAAAAUUGCACUGUUAUAAUCUACGUACGGGG